rnacentral:rRNA from 1 species
GCUAAACGCGAAGAACCUUACCCAGGCUUGACAUCCCUGGAAGGUCUCCGAAAGGAGACUGUGCCUUCGGGAAUCAGGUGACAGGUGCUGCAUGGCCGUCGUCAGCUCGUGUCGUGAGAUGUUUGGUUAAGUCCAUUAACGAGCGCAACCCUUGUAAGUAGUUGUAAUUUUCUACUUAGACCGCCUCGGUAACGGGGAGGAAGGGAGGGGAUGAUGUCAGGUCAGUAUUGCCCUUACGCCGUGGGGCUACAAACACGCUACAAUGGGCCGGUAACAAAGGGCAGACCAACCCGCGAGGGGGAGCAAAAUCCCAUCAAAACCGGUCCCAGUUCGGAUAGCAGGCUGAAAUUCGCCUGCUUGAAGUCGGAAUCGCUAGUAACGGUGAGUCAGCUAUAUUACCGUGAAUACGUUCCCGGGUCUUGUACACACCG